UAUAUAAUUAUAGGGAACUAUGUGGCUGAAAGACCCUAGAUCUAAACGUGUUGAGUGCAAUAGGUGGUAUGCUCUCCGACAAGCAUAUGCGCGCAGCCCACCAGUUAUUAUCGAUGCAAUUCCUUAAGUUUGAAGGCUGCUAUAAUACUCUCUUGGCCCAAUUAAAGGCAUUUCCACCAGUUUCCAAUAAUCAAGGCCCAGCUGUGCAAAUCUUCUUUGUUGAAGAACAACAGCACUGGAUUGCCACUUCUCUGUUUAAGGGUGAACUGUAUUUGUACGACAGCUGCUUCAAUGGAACGCUUUCCCCAAGUACUGAGCUCCAGAUAGCACAAGUGUAUAGCCCAUUAAUUCAAUGCAAUGGGCUGUUGAUUUCUGUGGUGGCUCUCCAGCAGCAAGAGGGUGCUAACAACUGCGGACUAUUUAGCAUUGCUGCUGCAUAUCACGCUGCUAUGAACGAUAAUGUGGAUUCUCUAGUGUUUGAUGAGGCCAAAAUGAGAGCACAUCUCAUUAAGUGCUUUGAGAAGGGCAAACUCUCACGGUUCCCUCGCACAAAGAAAGCGAUGCCAAAAAGACCAACACCACAAACCAUUGCCAUUACAAUAUACUGCAUGUGCAAGAGACCGGACUCUUUUGAGGAUAUGGUCAUGUGUGACAAAUGUAGUGAGUGGUAUCACUAUCGCUGUGCCAAAAUUCGCAAAGAACCAGUAGGUAAUUGGUUUUGUUCUGGUUGCAUCACUUUAUGAUUUGUGCACUUUUGGUUAUAUUUAUUGUACUUCUUUCUCUUGCAUUGUUGUAUAUAUUGAGUA